UGGCGGACGGGUGAGUAACACGUGGGAACGUGCCCUAUGGUUCGGAAUAACGCAGGGAAACUUGCGCUAAUACCGGAUAAGCCCUUACGGGGAAAGAUUUAUCGCCAUUGGAGCGGCCCGCGUUGGAUUAGCUAGUUGGUGGGGUAAAAGCCUACCAAGGCAACGAUCCAUAGCUGGUUUGAGAGAACGACCAGCCACACUGGGACUGAGACACGGCCCAGACUCCUACGGGAGGCAGCAGUGGGGAAUCUUGGACAAUGGGGGAAACCCUGAUCCAGCCAUGCCGCGUGAGUGAUGAAGGCCCUAGGGUUGUAAAACUCUUUCGGCGGGGACGAUAAUGACGGUACCCGCAGAAGAAGCUCCGGCUAACUUCGUGCCAGCAGCCGCGGUAAUACG
rnacentral:rRNA from 1 species